AACGAACGCUGGCGGCAUGCUUAACACAUGCAAGUCGAACGGAUCCUUCGGUAUGAGUGGCAAACGGUGGAGUAACGCGUGGGAACGUACCCUUUGCUACGGAAUGACGCAGGGAAACUUAGGCUAAUACCUUAUGUGCCCUACGGUGGAAAGAUUUAUCGGCAAAGGAUCGGCCCGCGUUGGAUUAGCUAGUUGGUGGGGUAAUGGCCUACCAAGGCGACGAUCCAUAGCUGGUCUGAGAGGAUGAUCAGCCACACUGGGACUGAGACACGGCCCAGAAUCCUACGGGAGGCAGCAGUGGGGAAUAUUGGACAAUGGGCGCAAGCCUGAUCCAGCCAUGCCGCGUGAGUGAUGAAGGUCUUAGGAUUGUAAAGCUCUUUAACAGGUGAAGAUAAUGACGGUAGCCGGAGAAGAAGCCCCGGCUAACUUCGUG
rnacentral:rRNA from 1 species